AGCGCCGAAAAGCUGGUCGGCGUCUACCCUAGGUCCGUCUCCGGUCUAAGGCAUGAAUAAACAAACCCAGAUCAUAAGCGGCGGAGUAAAGUAGCCGGUGUUUCUGCCAUUUUCUGUAUUGGUUGCUAGCUAAGUUGUUUAGAGCACCGGAGAUUUUCUUGAGUAUUGAGGAUCAAGUUAUAGCACAAUAACACCUAUCAGUUCAGCGACUACGUUAUGGACUCCCAACAUGAUCCCAAGUGAGCAAGUGUGACUCUUAGUUUCCUCAGGCACAGUGAGAACUUGAAAUUGGCAAACCAGUGUUGACCCAAUACUGUGGUUUUCUCUUAAUAUAUCCUGGGACUUUGCUGUCUUGAAACAUUUAAGGGCAAAUCUGGAAAACUCCUAUGCUGACCAGAUGGCAUGAUCUACGGGAAGAUGAAGCUUACAUAAGACAAGCAUAAUCCUUGACUCUUUCCCAAAACUGUAUCAGGAAGAUACUAAAAACAAAAAAAAAAAAAAAAAAAAAAAACCCGCAAUAAGGACCUCAAGAGAAGACUUCUCAGGCACUCAUGAUAAGUCCCUAUGAGCAAACCCUUGGCGAUUGAAGUACAGAUCCUGAUCCCACCCCUAGAUCAUUUUAGGGAAAUUGUAACUAAAGACUGAAAAAAAUCUUGGCCUGUAAAACUUCAGGUGAAAGAUUAAAGAAAUAGAUUCGAA